rnacentral:tRNA from 1 species
GGGGUUGUGGCUCAGCGGUAGAGCACUCGCCUAGCACAUGUGAGCCAGUGGGUUUGAUCCUCAGCACCA